AACGAACGCUGGCGGCAGGCCUAACACAUGCAAGUCGAGCGAGGUAGCAAUACCUAGCGGCGGACGGGUGAGUAACGCGUGGGAACGUGCCCUUUGCUUCGGAAUAGCCCCGGGAAACUGGGAGUAAUACCGAAUGUGCCCCACGGGGGAAAGAUUUAUCGGCAAAGGAUCGGCCCGCGUUGGAUUAGGUAGUUGGUGGGGUAAGGGGCCACCACGCCGACGAUCCAUAGCUGGUUUGAGAGGAUGAUCAGCCACACUGGGACUGAGACACGGCCCAGACUCCUCCCGGAGGCAGCAGUGUGGAAUCCUAGACCAUGCGCGCAAGCCUGAUCUAGCCAUGCCGCGUGAGCGAUGAAUGCCUUAGUGUUCUAAAGCUCGUUCGUGGGGGAAGAUAAUGACGGUACCCCAAGAAGAAGCCCCGGCUACCUCCGUGCCAGCAGCCGCAGUAAAAC
rnacentral:rRNA from 1 species